rnacentral:lncRNA from 1 species
GCUCCAUUCUUCCUAUUUCUUUUCUUCUUGGUCGAAAAACCCUUUUCAUUGUACCUACCCUCAAGUUUCAAUUCCUUCACCAUCUAUGAGAGGACUUGGAUGCAUGGUGAUCAUCUCUUCUCUGAUAAGAUGCCAAUAUUUGGAUUGAGUCAAUGUUACUCAGAAAGUUAAGGUAAGAAACUCACUUUCCAUGAACACAUAGUUUUUCCUCUUUUAAAUCCAAUCACUAAAUCUUAACCCCAUACUUGAAAUUUGUCCUUGGAUGCACGUUUACUCUUUAAAACACGAAUCUUGAGAUGUCUGGAAGGUCAUGGGUGUUGGAGAAAUUAAGUGAAACUAGAGAAUGAAGAAUUUUGGUAUCAAACCCGUAUUCAAGGACAGACCUGCACUAAAAAGGUAACUGUUCUCUCCCUGUAGCUCCGAAUGAGAUACCGUUUAUUUCUAUGGAUAGCUAACUCAAAUACGGUCGUUGUGGUACCGGUUUUAUAAGGACGAGCGAUGAGGUCGAUAGACAUUUUUGAAGUUGGAAGCCAGUAGCAGGAAUUGUGCAGAAAAUCUGGAAUUUUGGUGUUUUAUGUGCUACGGGUUUGCAUCUUGAGCGGCUCAAGCGGAUGAUUAUAUGCGAAACAGUUCGGAAUUGCUAUCAAAUCAGGUGGGUUCCUUUAGGUAAACUCUCACUUAAUAGAGUAGCCUUAUUAGUUUUCCCCAAAAUCCAACUAUGCAUGUUAACUUAAGUUUUAGGGAUUAAUNNNNNNNNNNNNNNNNNNNNNNNNNNNNNNUGAUUUUAAGUUAUGCAGGAAAUCGAGCUUGAGCCGGCUUAAACAGAGCUUGAACCGAUGCGACGUUUCCUUAAAAACUCUAAAAUGCCCAUUAUGGGUGUUAUGAGCUGGUGCAUGCGCAUCAUGGAUCAGUGCAUAACUCUCAGGAGAUGUUUUAUAAAAACUGGAAACGAUUGAAUCGGUGCAUUCACUUGUUGAAUUGACUCAACCAAGGUUUGGGCAGGUUUUAAUCGGUACAAGGGAUGCUUGAGCCGAUUCAUAUAACUCACAUUAUUUUCUUAAAAACUGAAUUAUAUGCAUCGGUGCAUAAAACACUUGAAUUGGUGCAACCUGAGAUAAUUAUUUUUGUAACAAAAACCAUUUGGUUUAUGGAUGGAGGUUAUAAUAACUAUUUUAUUUCAAUUAAAAACCCUCUGCCAUGAACAUUAUUUUAUAAAAAUAAUAAGUGACUAAAUUCCACGAUUACGGAUCUUCGUACAUGUAUUAAAAUCAGUAGACAUAGGAAUUGAAUCAGGAUAUUCAGGAUAGUUAGAUAUAUCCCGGGAAGGUUUUCUUUCUUUUGGGUAGGAUAACCAUUCAAGAUUAGGAAUUAUGUUUCAGAAUUUAUCAGGAUGGUUGGUCAUUAGUACCAAUAUCAGGAAGCGUGGUCAUUNNNNUCAUGUUGUAUUCCGACGUACAUUAUUAUCGGUAAUACCAGGCCAGGCACUCCGGGACCGGCUUACCCCGGGGUGAUCCUGUUAUGAUAAAAUUGACAAGAUAAUUAUUAUGUGUGUUACACCUUUAUUUCUUUAUUAUCAUAUUAUGAAAACUUCAGGAUUAUGUCAAGAUUAGACUUUUAGAUAUUCAGGUUCAGGUUAAAGUUAGAAACUAUUA